AUGACUAAAGAUAAUCUGGUAAAAAGAGGUAUUACUAAACCACCUGAAUGUAUGUUUUGCAAAGAACAGGAAUCCAUAGAUCACCUGUUCUUUGGUUGUGUGGUUGCUAAACAGAUUUGGAUUGAAAUAUCUAAAAUCCUUUCUCAUGAUGUAGGCAGUGACUACAUAUCUGUUGCUAGAUUUUGGCCAGCCCAUAAGAAUAAGCUGAUCUUGAACUCUGUUUGUGCCUAUGUUAUGUGGUGCAUCUGGAAGUUCAGAAAUUCCAUGGUUUUCAAUAAUGUGAUGUGGACUGACCUUAAACAGAUUUGGUGGCAGAUCCAUCUGACUCUCAAGAAGUGGAUGAUCUUGUUCAAAGAAACUCCCUUAGAAGAGUUGAAGCUGGUUUCACAGAAAGUGGCAAUGACCCUCACCUCCCCUUUCCUGCUGACUAUGGGGUGA
rnacentral:rRNA from 1 species